AAGGGAAUCUUCGGCAAUGGACGAAAGUCUGACCGAGCAACGCCGCGUGAGUGAAGAAGGUUUUCGGAUCGUAAAACUCUGUUGUUAGAGAAGAACAAGGACGUUAGUAACUGAACGUCCCCUGACGGUAUCUAACCAGAAAGCCACGGCUAACUACGUGCCAGCAGCCGCGGUAAUACGUAGGUGGCAAGCGUUGUCCGGAUUUAUUGGGCGUAAAGCGAGCGCAGGCGGUUUCUUAAGUCUGAUGUGAAAGCCCCCGGCUCAACCGGGGAGGGUCAUUGGAAACUGGGAGACUUGGGUGCAGAAGAGGAGAGUGGAAUUCCAUGUGUAGCGGUGAAAUGCGUAGAUAUAUGGAGGAACACCAGUGGCGAAGGCGGCUCUCUGGUCUGUAACUGACGCUGAGGCUCGAAAGCGUGGGGAGCAAACAGG
rnacentral:rRNA from 1 species